UACGAAGGGGGCUAGCGUUGCUCGGAAUUACUGGGCGUAAAGCGCACGUAGGCGGUUCGUUAAGUCGGGGGUGAAAUCCUGGAGCUCAACUCCAGAACUGCCUUCGAUACUGGCGAUCUUGAGUCCGGAAGAGGUGAGUGGAACUCCUGGUGUAGCGGUGAAAUGCGCAGAUAUCAGGAAGAACACCCGUGGCGAAGGCGGCUCUCUGGGACGGUACUGACGCUGAGACGCGAAAGCGUGGGGAGCGAACAGG
rnacentral:rRNA from 1 species